rnacentral:rRNA from 1 species
GAGAAAGUAAGCAAGGGCAGACGGUGGAUGCCUUGGCUCUCGGAGGCGACGAAGGACGUGAUAAGCUGCGAAAAGCCCGGGGGAGGCGCAAAUAGCCGUUGAUCCCGGGAUAUCCGAAUGGGGCAACCCGGCAGGCUGAAGGCCUGUCAUCCCGAAAGGGAGGCGAACGUGGGGAACUGAAACAUCUAAGUACCCAUAGGAGGAGAAAAUAAACAAUGAUUCCGUAAGUAGUGGCGAGCGAACACGGAAGAGCCCAAACCCAUGUCGUCUAGGCGACACGGGGGUUGUAGGACCACGACGUGGCAAGAUAGAGUCAAGUGGAACGCCUUGGAAAAGGCGGUCAUAGAGGGUGAAAACCCCGUACACGACUGACGAUUGAAGCCUAGUGGCAUCCUGAGUAGCGCGGGGCACGAGAAAUCUUGCGUGAAUUAGCGGGGCCCAUCCCGUAAGGCUAAAUACUCCCGAGAGACCGAUAGCGAACCAGUACCGUGAGGGAAAGGUGAAAAGAACCCCGAGCAGGGGAGUGAAAUAGACCCUGAACCCGUCUGCCUACAAGCGGUCGGAGCGUCGUAAUGACGUGACGGCGUGCCUUUUGCAUAAUGAACCUACGAGUUACCUUCCCCGGCAAGGUUAAGUACCUAAGGUACGGAGCCGAAGCGAAAGCGAGUCUGAAGAGGGCGCCAAGUCGGGGGGGGUAGACGCGAAACCGAGUGAUCUACCCUUGGCCAGGUUGAAGGUUGGGUAACACCAACUGGAGGACCGGAUGGGUAAGCGUUGAAAAGCUUUCCAAUGAGCUGAGGGUAGGGGUGAAAGGCUAAUCAAACUCGGAGAUAGCUCGUACUCCCCGAAAUGCAUUUAGGUGCAGCCUCUUUAUAGUAUAUCGUGAGGUAGAGCGACUGAUUGGAUGCGAGGGCUUCACCGCCUAUCAAGUCCAGAUAAACUCCGAAUGCGCGAUAUAUAUUUACAGGGAGUGAGGGCGCGGGUGCUAAGGUCCGUGUCCGAGAGGAGAAGAAUCCAGACCACCGGCUAAGGCCCCCAAAUGAUCGUUAAGUUGAACUAACGAGGUCGGAUCGCAGAGACAGCUAGGAUGUUGGCUUGGAAGCAGCCAUUCAUUUAAAGAGUGCGUAACAGCUCACUAGUCGAGCGAUCUGGCGUGGAUAAUAAUCGGGCAUAAACGAUCUGCCGAAGCCGUGGAUGUCGUAAGACAUGGUAGGGGAGCAUUCCAUGCCGCGUCGAAGAUAAGGGAUGACCCUUGUUGGAGCGCAUGGAAAAGCAAAUGUAGGUAUGAGUAACGAUAAGGGGGGCGAGAAACCCCCCCGCCGAAAGACCAAGGUUUCCUGAUCAACGCUAAUCGGAUCAGGGUGAGUCGGGACCUAAGGCUAAGCCGAACGGCGACGCCGAUGGAAGAAUGGGUUAAUAUUCCCAUACUGCCUCAUGGAGUGACGUGGAGACGGAGAAGUGACAGUCCUGCCGGCUGACGGAAUAGCCGGUUGAAGGGUGUAGAUAUUGAUUCCCGUAGGCAAAUCCGCGGGGAGAGUCGAACCUGAGAGUAUACGGAGCGCUUGCGCAACGUAAUAUGGACGUAACCAUGCUCCCGAGAAAAUCCGCUAAACUUAUCCAUGCGGCACCCGUACCGUAAACGGACACACGUGGUCGGGUUGAGAAUACUGAGGCGCUCGAGUGAUUCACGGUUAAGGAACUAGGCAAAUUGACCCUGUAACUUCGGGAUAAAGGGUCCUCGUCGUAAGGCGAGGCGCAGAGAAUAGGUCCAGGCAACUGUUUAACAAAAACACAUGGCUGUGCUAAAUGGAAACAUGAUGUAUACAGCC